CACGCAGGCGGCCAUCUAAGUCAGAUGUGAAAGCCCACGGCUCAACCGUGGAACUGCAUUUGAUACUGGUUGGCUAGAGUACGGUUGGGGUGAGUGGAACUCCUGGUGGAGCGGUGAAAUGCGUAGAUAUCAGGAGGAACACCAGUGGCGAAAGCGGCUCACUGGACCGUAACUGACGCUGAGGUGCGAAAGCUAGGGUAGCGAACAGGAUUAGAUACCCUGGUAGUCC
rnacentral:rRNA from 1 species